rnacentral:rRNA from 1 species
CAGAGGGUGCAAGCGUUAAUCGGAAUUACUGGGCGUAAAGCGAGCGUAGGUGGCUUAAUAAGUCAGAUGUGAAAUCCCCGGGCUCAACCUGGGAACUGCAUCUGAAACUGUUAGGCUAGAGUAGGUGAGAGGGAGGUAGAAUUUCAGGUGUAGCGGUGAAAUGCGUAGAGAUCUGAAGGAAUACCGAUGGCGAAGGCAGCCUCCUGGCAUCAUACUGACACUGAGGCUCGAAAGCGUGGGUAGCAAACAGGAUU